rnacentral:piRNA from 1 species
UGAGUGUAACAAAAUAACAAAAAAACGAAA